AUGAACGCUGGCGGCGUGCCUAAUACAUGCAGGUCGAGCGAACAGACGAGGAGCUUGCUCCUCUGACGUUAGCGGCGGACGGGUGAGUAACACGUGGAUAACCUACCUAUAAGACUGGGAUAACUUCGGGAAACCGGAGCUAAUACCGGAUAAUAUAUUGAACCGCAUGGUUCAAUAGUGAAAGACGGUUUUGCUGUCACGUAUAGAUGGAUCCGCGCCGCAUUAGCUAGUUGGUAAGGUAACGGCUUACCAAGGCAACGAUGCGUAGCCGACCUGAGAGGGUGAUCGGCCACACUGGAACUGAGACACGGUCCAGACCCCUACGGGAGGCAGCAGUAGGGAAUCUUCCGCAAUGGGCGAAAGCCUGACGGAGCAACGCCGCGUGAGUGAUGAAGGUCUUCGGAUCGUAAAACUCUGUUAUUAGGGAAGAACAAAUGUGUAAGUAACUAUGCACGUCUUGACGGUACCUAAUCAGAAAGCCACGGCUAACUACGUG
rnacentral:rRNA from 1 species